GGCUACACAUGCAGUCGAGCGGAAACGACACUAACAAUCCUUCGGGUGCGUUAAUGGGCGUCGAGCGGCGGACGGGUGAGUAAUGCCUAGGAAAUUGCCUUGAUGUGGGGGAUAACCAUUGGAAACGAUGGCUAAUACCGCAUAAUGCCUACGGGCCAAAGAGGGGGAUCUUCGGACCUCUCGCGUCAAGAUAUGCCUAGGUGGGAUUAGCUAGUUGGUGAGGUAAUGGCUCACCAAGGCGACGAUCCCUAGCUGGUCUGAGAGGAUGAUCAGCCACACUGGAACUGAGACACGGUCCAGACUCCUACGGGAGGCAGCAGUGGGGAAUAUUGCACAAUGGGCGAAAGCCUGAUGCAGCCAUGCCGCGUGUAUGAAGAAGGCCUUCGGGUUGUAAAGUACUUUCAGUUGUGAGGAAGGGUGUGUAGUUAAUAGCUGCGCAUCUUGACGUUAGCAACAGAAGAAGCACCGGCUAACUCCGUGCCAGCAGCCGCGGUAAUACGGAGGGUGCGAGCGUUAAUCGGAAUUACUGGGCGUAAAGCGCAUGCAGGUGGUUCAUUAAGUCAGAUGUGAAAAGCCCGGGGCUCAAACCUCGGAAACUUGCAUUUUUGAAACUUGGGUUGAACUAGAAGUUGCUUGUAGCAGGGGGGGGUU
rnacentral:rRNA from 1 species